UACGUAGGUGGCAAGCGUUGUUCGGAAUUAUUGGGCGUAAAGGGCGCGUAGGCGGCUUGUUAAGUCGGCUGUGAAAGCCCGGGGCUCAACCCCGGAGGGUCAGCCGAUACUGGCAGGCUAGAGUACGGAAGAGGUAGCUGGAAUUCCCGGUGUAGCGGUGAAAUGCGCAGAGAUCGGGAGGAACACCAAUGGCGAAAGCAGGUAACUGGACUAUUACUGACACUCAGCUGCGAAAGCUAGGGGAGCAAACAGG
rnacentral:rRNA from 1 species